rnacentral:misc_RNA from 1 species
GAAAUGCGAUAAGUAAUGUGAAUUGCAGAAUUCAGUGAAUCAUCGAAUCUUUGAACGCACCUUGCGCUUCUUGGUAUUCCUUGGAGCAUGCCUGUUUGAGUAUCAUGAAAUCUUCAAAGUAAAUCUUUUGUUAACUCAAUUGGUUUCUACUUUGGUAUUGGAGGUCUUUGCAGCUUCACACCUGCUCCUCUUUGUUCAUUAGCUGGAUCUCAGUGUUAUGCUUGGUUCCACUCGGCGUGAUAAGUUAUCUAUCGCUGAGGACACUGUAAAAGGUGGCCAAGGUAAAUGCAGAUGAACCGCUUCUAAUAGUCCAUUGACUUGGACAAUACUUUUAUGAUCUGAUCUCAAAUCAGGUAGGACUACCCGCUGAACUUAAGC